AUACGGAGGAUCCGAGCGUUAUCCGGAUUUAUUGGGUUUAAAGGGUGCGCAGGCGGCCAAUUAAGUCAGCGGUUAAAUCGUGGGGCUCAACCCCAUUCUGCCGUUGAUACUGGGUGGCUUGAUUGCGGUAGAGGUUGGCGGAAUUCGUUGUGUAGCGGUGAAAUGCAUAGAUAUGACGAAGAACACCGAUUGCUUAGGAAGCUGACCAGACCGCAAAUGACGCUCAUGCACGAAAGUGCGGGGAUCGAACAGGAUUAGAUACCCUGUAGUCCGCACAGUAAACGAUGAAUACUUGUUUUCGGCGAUAUAAUGUCGGAGGCAAAGCGAAAGCGAUAAGUAUUCCACCUGGGGAGUACGCCGGCAACGGUGAAACUCAAAGGAAUUGACGGGG
rnacentral:rRNA from 1 species